rnacentral:rRNA from 1 species
AUGAACGCUAGCGGCAGGCUUAAUACAUGCAGUUGAGGGGCAGCAUGAUAUACGCGAGUAUAUUGAUGGCGACCGGCGGACGGGUGAGUAAUAGGUAGGAGACCUACCUCAUACAGGGGGAUAGCAUAGAGAAAUCUGUGGUAAUACCCCAUGAGGUUAUAUGAAUAGAGGCAUAUAAUCAAAGCAUAAGCGAUUAUGCGGUAUGAGAGGGGCCUACUGACCAUUAGCUAGUUGGUGAGGUAAGGGCUCACCAAGGCGAAGAUGGUUAGGGGUUUUGAGAGAGAGACCCCCCACAUUGGAACUGAGAGACGGUCCAGACUCCUACGGGAGGCAGCAGUAGGGAAUAUUGGGCAAUGGGCGAAAGCCUGACCCAGCCAUGCCGCGUGAAGGAAGACGGCCUUAUGGGUUGUAAACUUCUUUACUACGCGAAUAGAGGUUAGUACGAGAUACUAAUAGGAAGGUAGUGUAGUAAAAAGCACCGGCUAACUCCGUG